ensembl:snRNA U6 U6 spliceosomal RNA
GUGCUUGCUUCGGCAGCACAUAUAUUAGAAUUGGAACAAUACAGAGAAGAUUUGCAUGGCCCCUGCACAAGGAAGACACGCAAAUUUGUGAAGCGUUCCAUAUUUUU